rnacentral:rRNA from 1 species
AUGAGCCCAGAAUCAUUUCAUACAAUGUUUGGUCUUCCAUUAGGUGGUAGAAAAGUUUUAUUUGACUGUGAGUUGAAAAAAUCUGCCUUCCUAAACAUUAUUGGCGAACCUACAUUGCCAUCCAUCAAGUGGUUUGGCCGUGAAAUGCUUAAGCCUGAUAUAUCUCGAAAUGAAUUCAUGAGGUGUUUCCUUCUAGUUGCCUUUCCAAAUGUUCUGUGUCCUAACUCAAAUAUCUACCCAAGCACGAAAUACCUAGGAAUUCUCAUUGAUCCAAUGGAAGCUAGGCACAAUGAUUUGUCUAAGUUUGUGUUUGAUUUGUUAAUGGAAUACAUAAGGAAGUUUCAGAAAGAACCAAAAUUGAUUUUCUGCUAG